rnacentral:lncRNA from 1 species
UCAGACAACUUUGUAGAAGGCUCAGACAAUGACAAGGAAUUAGUUUCUCUGAGAACUGGACCUCACUGGCCUGUAUUGAUUGCAGAUUUUCAUCAGAUUGUUUGCAAUGCCAUUUCUCCUCCCAAAUCAUGUGAGCUGUAGGGGCUUUUUAGACUUUCUGGUGUGGGGACCUCUCUUUGAAAUGGACCGUUUCUAUCCUAGGAUCACCUGAGGUCAGGAGUUCGAGACCAGCCUGGCCAACAUACUGAAAUCCCGUCUCUACUAAAAAUACAAAAAUUAGCCAGGUGUAGUGGUGCAUGCCUGUAAUCCCAGCUACUCGGCAGGCUGAGGCAGGAGAAUUGCUUGAACACAGGAGUCGGAGGUUACAAUGAGCCGAGAUCACGCCACUGCAUUCCAGCCUGGGCGACAGAGACUCUGUCUCAAAAAAAAAUUUUUUUUCUUUUAUUAUUAUUAUCAUACUUUAAGUUCUAGGGUACAUGUGCACAACGUGCAGGUUUGUUACAUAUGUAUACAUGUGCCAUGUUGGUGUGCUGCACCCAUUAACUCGUCAUUUACAUUAGGUAUAUCUCCUAAUGCUA